rnacentral:rRNA from 1 species
GAUGAACGCUGGCGGCGUGCCUAAUACAUGCAAGUCGAGCGAAGCGGGGACGGGUGAGUAACACGUGGAUAACCUCCUAUAAGACUGGGAUAACUUCGGGAAACCGGAGCUAAACCGGAUAAUUAUAGAUGGAUCCGCGCUGGCGUAGCUAGUUGGUAAGGUAACGGCUUACCAAGGCAACGAUGCAUAGCCGACCUGAGAGGGUGAGUGGCCACACUGGAACGGAGACACGGUCCAGACUCCGACGGGAGGCAGCAGGAGGGAAUCUUCCGCAAUGGGCGAAAGCCUGACGGAGCAACGCCGCGUGAUUGAUGAAGGUCUUCGGAUCGUAAAACUCUGUUAUUAGGGAAGCGGUACCUAAUCAGGAAGCCACGGCUAACUACGUGCCAGCAGCCGCGGUAAUAC